UACGUAGGGGGCAAGCGUUGUCCGGAAUCAUUGGGCGUAAAGAGCGUGUAGGCGGCUUGGCAAGUCUGGUGUGAAAUCUUGCGGCUCAACCGCAAGCGGUCACUGGAAACUGCCUCGCUAGAGUCCGGAAGAGGAGAGCGGAAUUCCUGGUGUAGCGGUGGAAUACGCAGAUAUCAGGAAGAACACCCGUGGCGAAGGCGGCUCUCUGGGACGGUACUGACGCUGAGACGCGAAAGCGUGGGGAGCGAACAGG
rnacentral:rRNA from 1 species